CUGGCUCAGGAUGAACGCUGGCGGCGUGCUUAACACAUGCAAGUCGAACGAUGAACCUCACUUGUGGGGGGAUUAGUGGCGAACGGGUGAGUAACACGUGAGUAACCUGCCCUUGACUCUGGGAUAAGCCUGGGAAACCGGGUCUAAUACUGGAUACGACCUUCCCGCGCAUGCGGUGUUGGUGGAAAGCUUUUGCGGUUUUGGAUGGACUCGCGGCCUAUCAGCUUGUUGGUGGGGUAAUGGCCUACCAAGGCGACGACGGGUAGCCGGCCUGAGAGGGUGACCGGCCACACUGGGACUGAGACACGGCCCAGACUCCUACGGGAGGCAGCAGUGGGGAAUAUUGCACAAUGGGCGCAAGCCUGAUGCAGCGACGCCGCGUGAGGGAUGAAGGCCUUCGGGUUGUAAACCUCUUUCAGUAGGGAAGAAGCUGG
rnacentral:rRNA from 1 species